rnacentral:rRNA from 1 species
GAUGAACGCUGGCGGCGUGCCUAAUACAUGCAAGUCGAGCGAACAGACGAGGAUCUUGCUCCUCUGACGUUAGCGGCUGACGGGUGAGUAACACGUGGAUAACCUACCUAUAAGACUGGGAUAACUUCGGGAAACCGGAGCUAAUACCGGAUAAUAUAUUGAACCGCAUGGUUCAAUAGUUAAAUACGGUUUUUCUGUCACUUAUAGAUGGAUCCGCUCCGCAUUAGCUAGUUGGUAAGGUAACGGCUUACCAAGGCAACGAUGCGUAGCCGACCUGAGAGGGUGAUCGGCCAAACUGGAACGGAGACACGGUACAGACGCCUACGGGAGGAAGCAGUAGGGAAUCUUCCGCAAUGGGCGAAAGCAUGACGGAGCAACGCCGCGUGAGUGAUGAAGGUCUUAGGAUCGUAAAACUCUGUUAUUAGGGAAGAAAAAAUGUGUAAGUAACUAUGCACGUCUUGACGGUACCUAAUCAGAAAGAAACGGCUAACUACGUG